rnacentral:rRNA from 1 species
GAUGAACGCUGGCGGCGUGCCUAAUACAUGCAAGUCGAGCGAACAGGCGAGGAGCUUGCUCCUCUGACGUUAGCGGCGGACGGGUGAGUAACACGUGGAUAACCUACCUAUAAGACUGGGAUAACUUCGGGAAACCGGAGCUAAUACCGGAUAAUAUAUUGAACCGCAUGGUUCAAUAGUGAAAGACGGUUUUGCUGUCACUUAUAGAUGGAUCCGCGCCGCAUUAGCUAGUUGGUAAGGUAACGGCUUACCAAGGCAACGAUGCGUAGCCGACCUGAGAGGGUGAUCGGCCACACUGGAACUGAGACACGGUCCAGACUCCUACGGGAGGCAGCAGUAGGGAAUCUUCCGCAAUGGGCGAAAGCCUGACGGAGCAACGCCGCGUGAGUGAUGAAGGUCUUCGGAUCGUAAAACCCUGUUAUUAGGGAAGAACAAAUGUGUAAGUAACUAUGCACGUCUUGACGGUACCUAAUCAGAAAGCCACGGCUAACUACGUG